rnacentral:rRNA from 1 species
AGAGUUUGAUCCUGGCUCAGAACGAACGCUGGCGGCAGGCUUCAUACAUGCAAGUUGAGCGAUUAAGACCCCCUCGGGGGUGUAUAAAGCAGCGAACGGGUGAGUAACACGUGGAUAAUCUACCUUUUGGUGGGGGAUAACGGCUGGAAACGGCCGCUAAUACCGCAUACGGUUUUCGGGUCCUUGGGCCUGAAAAAGAAAGGGGCCUCAAAGCCUCGCCAGAAGAUGAGUCCGCGCCCCAUUAGCUAGUUGGCGGGAUAACAGCCCACCAAGGCAACGAUGGGUAGCCGAGCUGAGAGGUUGAUCGGCCACACUGGGACUGAGACACGGCCCAGACACCUACGGGUGGCAGCAGUAGGGAAUAUUGGACAAUGGGCGAAAGCCUGAUCCAGCCAUGCCGCGUGAAUGAUGAAGGCCUUCGGGUCGUAAAGUUCUUUUCUGAGGGAAGAAAAAUCUGGGGAGGAAAUGCUCCGGGUCUGACGGUACCUCAGGAAUAAGCAACGGCUAACUCCGUGCCAGCAGCCCGCGGUAAUACCGGAGGUUGCAAGCGUUGUUCGGAAUAACUGGGCGUAAAGGGAGCGCAGGCGGUCUCGUAAGUCUAAAGUGAAAUGCCAGGGCUCAACCUUGGACGUGCUGUGGGUACGGGCAGACUAGAGUAUGGUAGGGGAGACCCGGAAUUCCU